AAAAAACGAAUAGUUUUAAACAUGUGUAACGACUAAUAAAAUAGUCCAAACACACUGAUAAUAUAAUUUAUGUGCGUGUUAUGCUAUUCAAAGUAAUGCAUAUAUGCUUAAUUAGCUAGCGCAAUCACUAUUACAAUCAUAACAAAUAAAAAAUAUGUGUCAGGCCUAAUGGCAAAAAUCCAUAUCGUCUGACACAUAAAAUUGAUUGUUUUGAUAAUUACAAUGAUCACCGAACCUAUACAGAACAAAGUGAAACAAAAAAACAAAAUGGCGCGUGAAAGAAGUCCGAUUUUGUCAUGCUAAAUAAGUUCAGCAUUCAGUUCAAAAUAUGGAGUGUAAUGCAUCAUGACAAACCCGAAACCACAAACAAAAUAGUCAAACAAUGCUGUUGGUUCGCAACUUUCAGCAUCUGGAAAAUCGUUCCGUGAAAAAUCGUGCGCUGGCAAGUAAUAUCGGUGCUGAAAUCGUCAUUUAAAUACGCUGGCGGAGACCCUGUCGAGACCAAAUCACCAGAAAAGGCACGUAUAUAAAAAUUCCCGGCAGUAUCGCCAGCUGCCCUCCUUAAGCUUGCUGUAUUAUUAUCCGCGCCAGAUUUCUGCCAUCAUAUCAUCAUACCUGUGUUCGUUUUCAUCAGCAAACUCCUGCCUCGGUUUAAUUUAAACAUCAACUCCGGAGCCCGGACUGUUACUGGUUAUGACGAUGCUGGAGUGCAAUUCGAACCGCUUUCAACUACCUGAAAGGAGCUACAUAUGUGUACUGCUGGAGCUUUCAGUAACCGUAUUUCCGGCGGUGUUCCGUUGCAGAGUAACCAGCUGACUAUGGAUGCGAUCAGUAGUAAUCUUCCAGCACAUCUGGGCUGCGAUGAUUUUGUCGCUGAAUGGAUAGACUAAACGCUGCGAGCCUCUUGAAGAUGCUGGAGAUGAUUUUCACCAUCAGGUGCAUGAAACGCAAGUUAUUUAUGAGCUGAUCAUCGAAUUCAUAUGGAGUUUGGAGUGCAUCGACUGAUAUCUGCUGUCGGUAUCAAAUAAUCGCUCACGAGGACCUAACUUGCUGGAAGCACUCGACAAAAUUCACUUAUUGCUUUAUGGUAGCUUCGAGGCUGAAACCGAAACCGCUGGAAAUUUCACACUGCUCGAAUGUAGGGUUUUGUCCACCAAGGAUAGGAAACAGAUUUCAACCGAUUCCACUGAAGAGAAAUGUGGGCUACUCACAAUAAAGUAGCGGUGGCUGUUGAAGUUCGUCGUAUGGAAGUAGUAGCAGCACACAAUUCACAUGUGGAAUUGCGAAAAAACCGACAAAAGCUGCCAACUAAUGUACAUUUUUUCUUUGUCUUGAAAAUAAAAGUUGAAGUUGAAGAAAUUUCAAUUUUUGUAUUAUUUACUGGGACCAAAGAAUGAUUAAAUCUUUAUUUAGCUAAAUAAACUAUAUAGAUGAUUAGUUAUAAAUUUUAUGAAUGUCUGCUAUUCAUGUUUAUCGAUAGGCCAUAUGAAAUGCAUUACUAAUCAAUAAUCCAAUUUAUGUGUAGCGCUUAUACAUUUGUUAUAUGAUGUACACAUGAAAUGCAUUAAUAUUAUGCUAUUGCAAAUAUCUAUAUAGGCCACACAUAAAGCUUAUAUAGAUUUUUUUGGCAGUGUAUAUUUCCCGAUAGGAA